AAUCCAUCAGCAUGGAACCGAGGACAGAGCUGUGAACCAUGUUCCCUGUUACACCUGCUACAGGAGAUGGAACUAUGGGAAGACAUCUCUGCAGUUAGUCAUUGGCUGAAGGCUUCCAAGGAACCAAAGUGAUUACAGAGAAGACUGGGCAAGGAAUUCCAGGAGGUAUUUUCUUCAGAGAAGCUUUGCAAGGCUGCCAGGCAAAUGGUUACGAAUGCCUGACCUUGGGUGUGUGGAGCAAAAUGAGGGCCCUGGGUGAGAACAUGGAGGCCCCUCCCCCCACCCUGGUACGAGACAGACAUGGGGGAUCGGAGGCGGCGGGGGGGUCUCCUAAUGUAAUUACUUCAUGCAUCUCUUCGUCACAACCGCCAGGCUCUUUUCAGACUCUGCUCAGCACAGAAUGAGGAUUCCAGUUGCUCCCACUUACAAGGGGCUGUCCAGGAUUGAUGGAGCAUGAGCCUAUGCAAUUUAGGGGUUCCUUUUCAGAAAGAGAAAGGAUGCAGCCACCGUGGAAAAUAGCAUGGGGACAAUUUGAUCACUUCAAAUAGAACCACCAUCUGAUCCAGCAACUGCACUUCAGAGUACCCGAGACGCGAAAACAGUCGCUGGGAGAGGAUCUGUGCCCACCCGUUUCCUGCAGCGGUAUUUACAACAGUCACCACGUGGAAGGCGUGGCAGAGUCCAGCCGUGGGCGAAUGGAUAAGGAAAAGGUAGCUAAGGAAAGUAGAUUGCGGCCUCCCUGGUGCCGCAAGUGGUAAAGCGCAGCACUGCAA